UACGUAGGGGGCUAGCGUUGUCCGGAAUCAUUGGGCGUAAAGAGCGUGUAGGCGGCUCGGUAAGUCCGCUGUGAAAGUCCAGGGCUCAACCCUGGAAUGCCAGUGGAAACUGUCGAGCUAGAGUCCGGAAGAGGAAAGUGGAAUUCCUGGUGUAGCGGUGAAAUGCGCAGAUAUCAGGAAGAACACCCGUGGCGAAGGCGGCUUUCUGGGACGGUACUGACGCUGAGACGCGAAAGCGUGGGGAGCGAACAGG
rnacentral:rRNA from 1 species